AUCCUUUAAUACUUCUUUCAAUAUAGAUCCUGUAUUUCUUGCUGGGACAAAAUCUGGGAAUGUUGGAAGUGUAACAUUAGAAAGCAACAAUGUAGAAUGAUUAGACGACGUUGAAUGCUGUCUGCUAUGCGUUGGACGAGAAUAUUAGCAACGGGUGGGAAACCCCACGAGGUAAUAUGAGCUUCUACAUUUUACACACUCACGGUUACCGCAUGAGAUUACCCACUUCUACGUUACCACCAAUUUUGUAACACAUCGACAGACGUUCUCAACGAGAUGAUCGGAGCUCAGUGUUCCCAACGAGAAUUAGGAUGAUUGUCUAUUGCAUUAGAAAUAGUCGUGGGUAUUGAAAGGACACUAAUGCUUCGACGAUUCGAGUUAAGAAGGAAAAUGCAUCCGCCGCGGGCAGCCGUAUUAUUAGCGACUUAGUAUUGUUAUGCACGUUUACAUAAGCAUCUGAUAGUGUGUCAGACAUUGAAUGAGAAAGAAAGAGAAAGAGAGAGGGGAGAGAGAGAGAGAGAGAGAGAGAGAGAGAGAGAGAGAGAGAGAGAGAAAGAGACAAUACGAAACACUGUGAUGUAUACACGUCGUUGUUGGUUGUGUUAUGUCCUAGCGUGCAGAGGUCCGUGGCAAAAUGUAAAAAAGAAAUAAAAGAAGAAAAAGACGAAGAAAAAAAAAAAGAACGAGAAAGAUAGAAAAAAUAAAAAAGAGAAAUAAAAAGAGAGUCGAGAAUUAUGCAAUUCGAAUAUUAUUAUCGCUCGUAAGAAAAAGGAAAAAAAAAAAGAAAAAGUUAUGACUUUACAGGAAACAAAAUAUCAGUUUAUAUAUAUAUAUUAUUAUUAUUAUUAUUAUUACUACUUUUAGUAUUAUUAUUAUUAUUAUUAUUAUUAUAUUAAGAGACACUACGCGUCAUGUGAUCCAAUAGGCCAUUCGAAUUUGCCCGCGUAACCGAAUGAGAAAGGAUGUCAAGAUUUUGCACGCGGAGACCUUACAAAAUCCUUGUCAUUCCACGAAGAUUGUCUGAGUUAUGCAACGAACGUUCUACGAUGGCCAAGUUGUCCUUACACGACUCUGAUAUAUUUAGCUUUUUUAUUUUUCUCUCUCUCUCUCUCUCUCUUUUUUUUUCCUUUUGUUUUCUUUUUUCAUCUUCAUCUUCUUCUUCUUCUUCAUUUUUAAACUAAACAUCCAUAAGCUUAAUAUUUUUGAUUAUAAUAGAGGAUCAGAGAAUGGGGAUGGUCACGUGGUAUGAUAGACGCGAUCGGCCAUCUUUUUGAUACGCGAAGAAACAAAAAUGGCGUCGAAUUUGGAUAUAAAAAAAACUUUCAUAUCAAUUGCGUUUUACCAAUAUGAAAUUAAUUACCUCAUAAUUCUUUAAAAGUGAAUCAAUGUGUGUAUGUGUGUGUGUAUGUGUGUAUAUGUGUGUACAAGGUGGACCAAGUUUUUAGAUUAAAAAAAAAAAAAAAAAUUCUUUUUCGAGACUGUAAAUUAAUUUAUUUACUUUUUUCAGAUUGUAAAAUUAUAAACCUUAAGAAUUUAAGAUCCAUACUGUGUGUAUAUAUAUAUACGCACACACACACAUACAUACAUACAUACAUACAUACAUAUAUAUAUAUAUAUAUAUAUAUAUAUCGUCGUCAUUAGUCACGAAACGGUGUCUCAAAAAGGCCCAUAAAGAGGAGGAUAUAACUAAACAUAAGUUCUCUUUCCACGUAUACAAUGCAUCGUUCCUUUGACACCAGACUUUUAAAAACGCGUCCGAAAGAGGCUCUUCAUCUAAAAGUCAAUUCGUAGUUCGCUUUUCAGAGAACGCAUAGCCCGUCGGUGAGUCGAUCGUGAUAAAGAGAAAGGAAAAGAAAAAAAGAGAGAGAGAGAGAGAGAGAGAGAGAGAGAGAGAGAGAGAGAGAGAGAGAAAGAGAGAGAAGGAAGAAAACCGAAGGCGAUACACUUCGCCUUGCCAUAGAUUCGAUCUUCCUUGGAAAUGCAAAUAACGGUUAAAGACCAUUUUUUAUAUUCAUCUUUUUUAAGAUCUCUCUCUAACAUCUAUUGUGUUGCUAACUAAAACCGGAUGGAUAAUAAUAUCCUUAUGGACAUUUUAAGUCGAAGGUCUCCUACUCUUCAUCAUCGGUUUACUACUGUCAAUAUUUUCUAUUAAUUUUAUUGCUAAUCAUUUAUCUCCUUGGUCUACUUUAUCUCUUUUAUAUAUAUAUAUAUAUAUAUAUUUCUUUAUAAUAAUCUUUUAUGAAUUAUUUAUAACAAACAAUUUCGUCGUUUUAUUUUCUUUUCUUUUUCUUUUUCUUUUUUUUUUCCCCUUCUUCAUAAUAACAUUACUUCAUAAUAACAUACUUCUUGUAAAAUGUUAAUAUUGUAAGAGAUGAUUAAGGAUAAUAUAUUAUUUAGUAAAGAAAGGAGGAGGUUCUAAUAGAGAAACUUUGACUACCGUUCAUGUAGGACAAAGUAAGAGAGACCUCAGAGUUAAUCGGUAAUCUUAUCCUGUAACCAAGUCGUUUUCAUAUCUUUCUCUCUUUCUUUCUCUUUUGCAUAUCUCUUUGGAUAAAGACAAAAAAAA